UACGAAGGGGGCUAGCGUUGCUCGGAAUCACUGGGCGUAAAGCGCACGUAGGCGGAUCUUUUAAGUCAGGGGUGAAAUCCCAAGGCUCAACCUUGGAACUGCCUUUGAUACUGGGGAUCUCGAGUCCGGAAGAGGUUGGUGGAACUGCGAGUGUAGAGGUGAAAUUCGUAGAUAUUCGCAAGAACACCAGUGGCGAAGGCGGCCAACUGGUCCGGUACUGGACGCUGAGGUG
rnacentral:rRNA from 1 species